GACGCAGGGCGCGAGCGUUGUCCGGAUUUAUUGGGCGUAAAGAGCUCGUAGGCGGCUUGUCGCGUCGUCCGUGAAAACCUGCGGCUCAACUGCAGGCUGGCGGUCGAUACGGGCAGGCUGGAGUUCGGUAGGGGAGACUGGAAUUCCUGGUGUAGCGGUGAGAUGCGCAGAUAUCAGGAGGAACACCGGUGGCGAAGGCGGCUCUCUGGGACGGUACUGACGCUGAGACGCGAAAGCGUGGGGAGCGAACAGG
rnacentral:rRNA from 1 species